rnacentral:lncRNA from 1 species
AUUUGUGAUUGGAUAACUAUAUCUAUCUAAUCAGAGACGACGUUUUCAAGGACAGGGUUGCGUGGUGAACGGACAUCUGCUGCUAUAAAAGACCCCAAACACCCAAGAUCGCCACUCCAUCCCUGGAAUCCACACAGAAACUGUCAUCACCAAGACCAGGUUUAAAAGCCCAAACAGCAGCAGGAAAUAUGGCAAACUGGUGCCCCUCCGCCAAGGUGACCCUGUACGAGAAGGAAUGCUUUAGGUGUAGAUGUUUGACAGUCACGCAUGACAUGGCCAGUUUGGGAGCUUUCGACAACUCUGUGUCAUCCGCCAUUGUCCACGAGGGAGACUGGGCGCUGUACGGUGAGGUCAAAUAUUCCGGGAAGCGGAUGAUCCUUUCUGAAGGACAGUGCUACAGCUGCCUCCCUGGCGUGAAUAACACUGCUUCGUCCAUUAAUAAAAUUUGAGCUGACGCCAACGUGGUGCAGCAGCUCUUCCUUUAUUGGACGACUGACUUGCCUAACACUGACAUGGAUGCCCCGCAACACGUACAGCAACAUAGACGCCGUGUUUCAAUAUCUACAGAAGGAAAACAAACAGAUCAUUUUAUUGUAAAUUAAUACACUUAGACUAAUUUCAACAAUGUAUAUCAACACCAAGAGAUAAAUCUUUAUAAAUCAAGAUAUAAUA